UGUCCCAUGGCUAAGUUGGUUAAGGCGGUCGACUGUUAGUUUCUAGCAGAUCGGACGGUCGUGAGUUCGAGUCUCACUGGGACAG
rfam:Kwoniella heveanensis BCC8398 unplaced genomic scaffold supercont1.37, whole genome shotgun sequence.